UACGGGGGGGGCUAGCGUUGUUCGGAAUUACUGGGCGUAAAGGGCGCGUAGGCGGUCUGCUAAGUUGGAUGUGAAAACUCUGGGCUUAACCCAGAGCCUGCAUUCAAUACUGACAGGCUAAAGUUCUGGAGGGGAUAGCGGAAUUCCUGGUGUAGCGGUGAAAUGCGCAGAUAUCAGGAAGAACACCAAUGGCGAAAGCAGCUCUCUGGGACGGUACUGACGCUGAGACGCGAAAGCGUGGGGAGCAAACAGG
rnacentral:rRNA from 1 species